UGGCUACAGGUCAAUCUGAGAGUUUAGGGUUCAUCAAAUCUAAUAGUCAUGCUGCUGCAGAUGAGCGUCAGGAUGACAGUCAUGAAUUCUCAGUAUUCGUUGCAAAUUUGGCUGCUGAAGUUACAGAUUAUAUAUUAGAAGAGACAUUUAAGGUUAAGUAAACCUCUGUUAAGGGUGCAAGAGUCGUUACUGAUAGAACCACUGGACGUUCUAAGGGCUAUGGGUAUGUUAGAUUUGCUGAUAGAGACGAACAGAUGAGGUCACCGACUGAACUGAAUGGUCAAUAUUGUUUAACAAGACCCAUGCGUAUUGGCUACUAGUACGCAAAAAGCCGCUUUCCAGAGUUUUCUGGGAACUCGGAAUGAGAGUGAUCCAAAUACAACUGUGGGUAAGUUUGGCGAUGUUAAACAACACCGGGUAUUUGUUGCUGGGUUGGACUCUAAUAUCACUGAAGAAAACUUGAGACAAAUUUUUAGCCAAUUUGGAGAGUUAUCCCAUGUGAAAAUACAUGAAGGAAAAGGCUGUGGGACUGUUCAGUUCGAUAAUAGGGCUUGUGCAGAGGAGGCUAUGGUGAUGCUACAUGGAAGUCAAUUGGGUGGUUCAAACAUUCGACUUUCAUGGGCCUGCAGUCCUUCAAAUGAACAGGGUCAACCCGGUGGUAUGGUUCAGCAACAUGCAGAUCCAAACCAGCGGCCUGCUGCAGCUGGUAAUAUGUACAGAUACGAUGGAAGUUAUGCAGACUAUGGAAAGUUUUUAGCUAACGUGUUUUCUUUCCAAGGCUGUGCCGGUCCUGAAUAUGGCUAUCAACAGCACCAACAGCAGUGAUCUGAUCAUAUAGCCAGAUUCAAUGUGGUGGGCAGAUAAAAGCUAUAUUUUUCAAGUAAAGAAGAGGUCAAGUCUCAGUAGUCUAAUGGGCGAUUUCAUGUAUCCUGUGCUGCACGAUGAAUCGAACUGCUACACGAGGGUACGUCGUACCUAAGUCAUCAGUAUAGACACAUGUCCCGUGCCAAGUUCCUUCGCUGAAAUUAGUAGUAUAGAUACCUUAAGAGAUCUUCUAACCU